UACGUAGGGUGCAAGCGUUAAUCGGAAUUACUGGGCGUAGAGCGUGCGCAGGCGGUUUUGUAAGUCUGUCGUGAAAUCCCCGGGCUUAACCUGGGAAUUGCGAUGGAGACUGCAAGGCUGGAGUCUGGCAGAGGGGGGUAGAAUUCCACGUGUAGCAGUGAAAUGCGUAGAGAUGUGGAGGAACACCGAUGGCGAAGGCAGCCCCCUGGGUCAAGACUGACGCUCAUGCACGAAAGCGUGGGGAGCAAACAGG
rnacentral:rRNA from 1 species